rnacentral:other from 1 species
UGUACUUUUUGGUAGAGGGCAUUUACUCGGGUAAAAACGGAUUCUAGCCAUUUUGGACUAGAGCCACAUUAUUAUUUUAUGACUACGGGAAAAUGUUAGUAUGUCUGAUACAGUUACUGGUAAAGUUAAAUUUUUCAACGAAACUAAAGGUUUCGGUUUUAUAGAGCAAGAAAAUGGUCCUGACGUGUUUGUUCACUUCAGCGCUAUCUCUGGAGACGGUUUCCGUACUCUAGCUGACGGUCAAGCAGUUACUUUUACUGUUAAACAAGGUCAAAAAGGCCCUGAAGCAGAAAACGUACUAGCUGUAUAAGUUUAACUUAUUAAGCUAAUCUAAAAAAACGAAGUAUGAGUUUAACUCGUCCUUCGUUUUUUUGUG